UCUUAUGGAUGAGCAAAGAAAGUGGUUUUUCAAAAUGGAAUCUACUGCUGGUGAAGAUGCUGUGAA
rnacentral:pre_miRNA from 1 species